rnacentral:rRNA from 1 species
GAUGAACGCUGGCGGCGUGCCUAAUACAUGCAAGUCGAGCGAACAGACGAGGAGCUUGCUCCUCUGACGUUAGCGGCGGACGGGUGAGUAACACGUGGAUAACCUACCUAUAAGACUGGGAUAACUUCGGGAAACCGGAGCUAAUACCGGAUAAUAUAUUGAACCGCAUGGUUCAAUAGUGAAAGACGGUUUUGCUGUCACUUAUAGAUGGAUCCGCGCCGCAUUAGCUAGUUGGUAAGGUAACGGCUUACCAAGGCAACGAUGCGUAGCCGACCUGAGAGGGGGAUCGGCCACCCUGGAACUGAGACCCGGUCCAGACCCCUACGGGGGGCCGCAGUAGGGAAUCUUCCGCAAGGGGCGAAAGCCUGACGGAGCAACGCCGCGGGGGUGAUGAAGGUCUUCGGAUCGUAAAACUCUUUUAUUAGGGAAAAACAAAUGUGUAAGUAACUAUGCACGUUUUGACGGUACCUAAUCAGAAAGCCACGGCUAACUACGU